UUCCUCUAAAAUCUAUAUGAUCUGUCACAUUGCUUUUAAAUUCUUGAUAUUGGGCUCCCUCCACCAUUUUUUGUUUGAAUGAUGUUGUUGGGAUUUCUUGUUUAAUGUUAGAUGGUAGAUUUUUUUUUUUUCGUUCAUAUAAAACUUUUUAGGGCAUGUUGUUGUGCUGAAGAAUCUUGAUUUGGGCAUAUUUUAAAUUUCCCUUUUGGUUAUCUUAUCACUGCAUUAUUGGGAACAAAGUGUUGAUAUGUUAGGCUCAGGGAUGAAUCUGAUCACAACAAUCAUAGGAUUUGGGAUGAGUGCAACCUUCAUCGUGUUUGUUUGCACUAGACUGAUUUGUGGGCGUCUUCGCCAGAUUGAAUCUCGCCAAAUGUUUGAGAUCCACUCUAGAAUUGAUCUUGAGCUGGUGGUGCGAGCGACGGCCUUGCACCGGUUGCAGUGGCAGCUAUUCCGACCAUGAAGUUCAACCGCGAAGCAUUCAAAUCAAUGGAAGAUCCACAGUGAGCAUCACCACUCAUCAACAUGAGGAGAUAAAUAGGUCUAAUCCUACUGUUUUGAAAAAACUGCAGGUGCACAAUAUGUUUGGCAGAGUAUCAAGACAAAGAGAUGCUGAGGAUCAUGCCCCAGUGUGGCCAUAGUUUUCAUCUUCCGUGCAUCGACGUGUGGCUGAGGAAGCAGCGCACGUGCCCCAUAUGCCGUCUCACUGUUCAACGCUCCAUUGCAGAAGAAAAUGCCCCGUCGUCUACGCCUCCAUCUUUUUACAGUUCUAGGCAAUGGCAGCUGCCUAAUGCUGCUGCUGCUGCUUCAGAUCUUAAUCAUAGCAGCCAAAUGCAUCAUCCCAUUUUGAUCCAAUUGGAUUCUGAUGUUGCAAGUGACUCACCAUUAAGAUCAUCAUAGUAUAUAAUGUUGGAUUUCUUCAUUUUUUUGCUGUGGGGGGCUUGUCAUAUGAUUUUGAGUGAAUCUUAUUUUCUGAAUCUGAAUUUAUUUUUGUUGCAGUUUUAGAUUGUUUGAUUCUGAAAUUACAGAAUAUGGAAA